rnacentral:rRNA from 1 species
GACGAACGCUGGCGGCGUGCUUAACACAUGCAAGUCGAACGGAAAGGCCCUGCUUUUGUGGGGUGCUCGAGUGGCGAACGGGUGAGUAACACGUGAGUAACCUGCCCUUGACUUUGGGAUAACUUCAGGAAACUGGGGCUAAUACCGGAUAGGAGCUCCUGCUGCAUGGUGGGGGUUGGAAAGUUUCGGCGGUUGGGGAUGGACUCGCGGCUUAUCAGCUUGUUGGUGGGGUAGUGGCUUACCAAGGCUUUGACGGGUAGCCGGCCUGAGAGGGUGACCGGCCACAUUGGGACUGGGAUACGGCCCAGACUCCUACGGGAGGCAGCAGUGGAGAAUAGUGCACAAUGGGCGGAAGCCUGAUGCAGCAACGCCGCGUGCGGGAUGACGGCCUUCGGGUUGUAAACCGCUUUCGCCUGUGACGAAGCGUGAGUGACGGUAAUGGGUAAAGAAGCACCGGCUAACUACGU